rnacentral:rRNA from 1 species
AACGUAGGAGACAAACGUUAUCCGGAGUUACUGGGCGUAAAGGGCGUGUAGGUGGUUUCGUAAGUCUGGCGUGAAAUUUCUCGGCUUAACCGAGGCAGGUCGUCGGAUACUGCGGAACUUGAGGACGGUAGAGGCGUGUGGAAUUCCUGGUGUAGCGGUGGAAUGCGCAGAUAUCAGGAGGAACACCGAUGGCGAAGGCAGAUCUCUGGGCCGUAACUGACGCUGAGGAGCGAAAGCAUGGGGAGCGAACAGG